ensembl:lncRNA
CUGGUAAGUGUACAUUAAAACUAGUUGGGGUUACCUGGUAAGUGAAGAUAAACUAGUUGGAGUUACCUGGUAAGUGUACAUUAAACUAGUUGGGGUUACCUGGUAAUUGGAGUUACCUGGUAAGUGGAGUUACCUGGUAAGUGGAGUUACCUGGUUGGAGUUACCUGGUAAGUGGAGUUACCUGGUAAGUAAGGUUUCUGAGCUGCUUGUUACAGUAACAUCGGAACAACGGAAUCAUAGAAUCAGAACAUAGAAUUUCAGAACUCGAUUCUCAUACCAUUGAAUGGAACAUGAUUGAACCACUUCAUUACACAAGCCUGUUUCUCUUCUACAGCAGAAUGGCUACGUCCCACCCUGUUUCAUACACAUAGUGCACUACUUUAGACCAGCUCUGGAUAAAACGUAGCGCACUAUAUAGGAAAUAGGGUGUCAUUUGGGACACAGUCAAACAAGAUACAUACAUUAAGUCUCUUUCUCCGUUACAUUCUUUGGGCUGGGUGUAUAUCAGUGAUGUGGAAAUAACACGACAAUAACAGUUGCAUUUUUUUCAGCAAUAAAACUCACAAAACACUAAAACUAAAGGACCUGAAUUUGCUGAGGGAUGUGUGUCAAAAGGGUAGUGGUGUCAAAGUGUGUGUGUGUGUGUGUGUGUGUGUGUGUGUGUGCGUGUGAGUGUGAGACACACACUUUGUCAUAGCUUCGUAGGUAAUGGAUUCCCCAUGAAACCAUGCGUCCAGUCUAAGCAUUAAUACCGUGAUGUGUAAAUCCACAGGAACACAGUGGAGGUUGUUGUCGUGACAACGCUCAGUCUCACACUAACAUGUAUUCCGGUUGGGCUGCAUCUCUCCUGGGCGUCGUCAUCACCACCAGCCCAAACACAGAGGAAGAUUCUAGACUAUUCACUAGUCAUCAUCGUUACUGCAACGCAUGAACUGAUUGGCUGUUCCCGUGUGAUACAGGAAGUAGAACAAAACGAAGAGGAGAAAUGACCAAACACAUGUGUACACUCUCUCCGUCUCUCCACUCUGUUCUCCGAGACAAAAACAAUCACAGACGUUCUGGGAAGUCCUUUUUCCAAACAACACACUCCUCCUGUCCUGUCCAAGACUUUUACUGUUAGAUAUGUCUUCACUGUUACAUUACUGACCGACCACUGACCAGACCUGGAUUAAAUAUCAACUGACCAUACCUGGAUUAAAUAUCAACUGACUACUGACCAGACCUGGAUCAAAUAUCAACUGACUACUGACCAGAACUGGAUCAAAUAUCAGCUGACUACUGACCAGACCUGGAUUAAAUAUCAGCUGACUACUGACCAGACCUGGAUCAAAUAUCAGCUGACUACUGACCAGACCUGGAUCAAAUAUCAACUGACCAGACCUGGAUUAAAUAUCAGCUGACCAGACCUGGAUUAAAUAUCAGCUGACAACUGACCAGACCUGGAUCAAAUAUCUACUGACUACUGACCAGACCUGAAUCAAAUAUCAACUGACCAGACCUGGAUC